rnacentral:rRNA from 1 species
UACGAAGGGGGCUAGCGUUGCUCGGAAUCACUGGGCGUAAAGCGCACGUAGGCGGGUCGUUAAGUCGGGGGUGAAAUCCUGGAGCUCAACUCCAGAACUGCCUUCGAUACUGGCGAUCUUGAGUCUGGGAGAGGUGAGUGGAACUCCGAGUGUAGAGGUGAAAUUCGUAGAUAUUCGGAAGAACACCAGUGGCGAAGGCGGCUCACUGGCCCGGUACUGACGCUGAGGUACGAAAGCGUGGGGAGCAAACAGG